CACGGCGGAAGGCGGAGCGCAACCAAAGCAACUCAAAGGGAACUCCGUUCACACCGCUGUGCCAAUCGUUCUCGGUUUGGACCACCAGCAACAGUUGGCGCUAGAAGGAGGGCCACAUCACAACCUAUUUCCAAACACAUCAGCUGUUAAGUUGGUGCUUCUAAGUAUGCUUGCUGGCUUAUGAAACCCAAUCACCUUUUCUGAACGAACUUGAUAUAGUCAUGAUGUCAUAUAACAUCUCAAUUUGUAGUUUGUAAGGCCAUCAAGGACUUUACGUGGGAUGCAGACAAUAUCAUUUGAAUCAUUCAAGAUCUUGCACUGAGAUACAUGUAACAACUGCCACUUGAUGACCUCAUUGGAUUGAUAGGGAGAAAUCAAUUAGGCAGAUGAUACUAGUCUUCUUCCCAGUCUCAUCUCCAACUUAUCUCCAACUUAGCUCUGGCCUCUGAAUGACCUUGUCUUCUCUCUCAGGUUUAAGUCAUCCUCCUCGCCAUACCAGCAGUUAUGAAAUGACUUCAGCUGAUUUAAUCAUGGAUGGUAGAGUAGUUUAACAAUGACUUAGCAGAUCAUGUCCCUGUUCCAUAAACAAAUUGCAAGGUAACUAUGCCACCUGAAGUUUUUGACUCAUUCAGGUCCAUAGGCCACAUAGCUCUACAUUUGCACUGUUCUUGCCCAAAAAUUGCUAGCUACUAAGGCUCUAAGCUAUGUAAUUGUUUUUGCAACAAUGCAGUUAUUGUAGUAUUAGUAAAAAAUCACGGCCUGUUUUCUUUUUGUAAUUUAGAAAAAUUUGUGACAAUAGCCACAUUCAGCAUUAGUAUGCCUUUCACAUUUUUCUGUGAUUUUUCCUCCCUUUACACUGUAUCUGUUCAUUAGGAUAUGCAGUUAUGGCUAGAAUUUAUCAUUUUCAUAUGAAACUACGUUGCUUAUCUGUGAGGUAGUUCAGUCCUUUUUUCUUCAUGUUGGAUUCUUGCACUUACCAGAUGUUUAUGGGGAUUUGUUUCACAAUGCUUACUCAUCAAUUCUAUAUCCUUAUAGAUGGAGCCAAAUAGUUGGUAGGUGUUUUUUGUAUUUAUUUUUGGUUGGUGGUUG
rnacentral:lncRNA from 1 species